UGCCUUCAGCCCCUUUGGCUCAUGGUUUCCUUUUAGAUAUGAAUGUAAUAAAAAUUGUGAUGGGUAACUGACUAUUUUAAAGAAGCGUGAUGCCUCAAAACUUACCUGUGCUCCAUCCUAUUCAGGGCCCAGUCCUAUGUUAGCUAAUAAUCAGAUUCUAUUUUUUAAAAUGGAAAUAUCUCUGUAAAGUAAUUAAAACAGAGUUCUUGCUGAAAUUGAAUUUAUAAAAUGAAUGCUUCCAUUUUUAUCAGAGCAAUGUUGUUUGCAAAAUGCUUUAUAGGACUAUUAAUAAGCACCUUGGGCAGCAAAUAACAUCAGGUUGAAAUGUACCAAAACAUGUAUUAAUUGCCCCAUAAAACAUGCUCUGUUGUGUCUUAUUGCUUAUAUCAGGUGGAGUUGCCAAGGCAACCCUUGCAUCCUACAAUGCCACUCUGGCUAAAAGAGGGCAUAGGACAUUCCAUGCUCCACUUACAGAAAGGCUAACAGAAAAGCUGCAGAGAAAAGAAGAGUUCUCAUUGUUUACACCAGACUGCAAACACACUCACACUGACACAAGGUAA
rnacentral:lncRNA from 1 species